AGGGCGCGGUUGUGGUAGUUUCAGGCAGAUUUUGCCUCCAGUGUUUGGCCCAUGGCAUCUGAGAAUAUUUCUUUCCAGGAUAUCUCCAGACUGGAUAAACUAUUUAUUUCAGAAUAACUUGGAACUAACACCAAUGCCAGCAGCUGAUUGCAUGAGAGAAGAGAAAAGAGUUCUUCUAAAAGCUCUCUGAAGGACACUAGUGUUGUUUGUGCAUCAGUUUAAUAAUGUAAGUCUGAGCUGAGAGGCAGAAAGCCAAUUGUCAUGGUGUCUGCAGGGAGAAAAGCUUAAAGAAUGCAGAUGAAGAAAAGGAAAGAACACAUCCUUCUGUCAGAGGGUAAUAUGAGGCUUGACCUGGAUGACUUUGGAGCUGUAUUCAUGCUACCAUGGUCCACCCAGGUUGAUGGUAUCUGGUGAUGGAACAACCUGCCUUCCUCCAGAAGAGAUGGUGAAAGGAAGAAAUUAAACCCAUUCCUGCUUGGUUAUCAGUGAUGUUGCCACUUCUGCUAUUGAGUGGACUUGUACUGAGAAGCUGCUCAGUUCCCUCAGCAUUCAGGAGCCCUUUCAUUUCCUCCAAUUAGAGCUCUGCUGAGAACUUCAUACUGUGAAAAGAGACAUGGUUAUUACCAGCCUUCUCUCUCUGAAAACUAUUUUAUUUUCCCCACCUGAGCAACAGUGACCUCUGAGGCAAUUCCUAGCUUCAAGACCUCUCUGUGUUGGGGCUCUGGCAGUGAUACGCUGAAGAGUAAACUGGCUCUUUGCACAGGUCCUCCAGGUGAGCAGAGAUCCUGUCUAUUGGAGAAUAGGAGAAAACUGCAGCAAAAUGUCCACCCUGAACUUGUUCUGUGUGUCUUCCCCUAGAGCAUUUCCUUCCACAUCCAAAACAGGAGUUACUACAUGAAUGACACUCAGCAAGCAAGGCACCUGGACAGAUUCCUCUGGGACCAGCAGGAGAUCUGUUCCUAUGACAGUGAUGUGAGUUUCUAUGUGUCCCUUGUGGAUUUGAGACAGACAGUCACAAAGUACUAGAACAGAAUGGAGUGGCUCAGCUACUGGUAUGAUUCAAGGGAGAAAUGUGCAGCCUGGAAUAACAUUUGUCCCCCUCUGCCACCUCUCUGUUUCACUUGACAUCAGAAGUUGAGUGGACGGUGGGAGAUAGAUCUGAAUUCAGUGGGGCAGGAGGAGAAGGAGUGAAAUGGAUUGGAGUAGUUAACAUCUUCACUAUGAGUCUAAGACUGAAGGAAAUGACCUAUGGGAACCUUGCAGAAAAUCGUGGGACAGGACUCUGAAACCUGCCAAUUUCUAGAGCAAUGAACUCACCUCAGAGGUGGAGAAGUCACGAAAUGCUCCUACUAGGUGCAUCUUCCAUGAUGAUCUUUCACUGAGGGAGGAUUAAAAUGGGAUUAAAGAUGAUAAUGGCUGUAAUGUGAGAUCAUUUUGAGGGCAGCUGGUCAGGACUAAAGGGCAUGCUGAGAAAUGGUUUUGGAGGAGGAAUCCAUAUGAUGUCCAUAGAUCCUGUUGCUAAGAACUGUUCUCAGGGAGGAUGAUACAGGAGGAGAGGUGCAGCCUGUCUGUCAGGGUUCUCAGUCUCUCUUUUUUUCAUCUAAAAUCAAAGUGAAAAUUUCUGCCCUGCAAAUAAAGCAUGGAUUUAUACCAAGAAGGUGGUCUGUUCUGCAACAGGCUUUUAUCCUUUUGAAAUCAAGAUCCAGUGCUUCAAAUAUGGCCAUGACAAGAUGAACAAAGCUGCCCAUCACGAUGGCCUGGAGAAAGAGAUUGAAAAUUGAGGGAUCAGAAAAUCUUGGGAAAGGUCACUCCCAGAAGUACGGGAACAGCAGGAAACUGGAAAAGAUUUUAGGAAGAAACAAUGUCUAGCCUGAACCUUAACUCUCUGAACUGCUCUUCUAAUAGAAGUGAAUUCUGGAUCUGCUGUGGGGAAGAUGGAAACUGGAAUGCUGGACUUUGUGCUGGAGUUAGGCUUCAUUGUGGGACUCAUCAUCUAUCAAAAGAAGAAGAAAGGUGAAUUAUUCAUGAGCUAAGUGGAAACCUAUUCUUAAUGGGACUGCAGAGAGAUGUUUUAAAGCCUGUAAGACUUCACUAGAAGUUAGAUUUACCAUGAUAAUUUCCUUGGGUUCCCAGCAUUCAAGUGGGUUUUAUGGGGUCUAAUCCAAUAUCUGCAGAAGCCACUGAUAGCUUUUAAUUUAUUUUAACUGAAGUUAGAUUGGGCUUUCAGUGAUGAGAAGCCAUUUUAGACCUAGCAUCAGCUGCUGAAAGGUCAGCCCUGUCCUCUGAGAUGCAGUCCUCAGCUAUGGUUAUGGUUUCUUAUGAGAAUCAAAUUAGCUGCUUAAUUCCCAAAUGUUUCCACAUUGCUUCAUUGCAGACAUAUUUUGUAGACUCCAGAAGCAAAUACAUUUAUACUUAUUUAUAAAAAGAUUAAAUACCUCUCUUUCAAAGCUACAGGGGAAAAAAAAAAAGGAACGUUAUCUUCCAUAAAGCUGCGCUCUUGUUCCCAAAAUGUCAGUUUGCUGUGUAACAAUGUCUUCUCACAGGCUUUGUUUUCUCCUUUCUAAUUGUUUAGAAUUGUUAGAAUCACACACAAGUACUGGGUGAAUCCUUGCUGUGUGAUAUCUUUCAUGGUGCAAUGGGAAAUAUGCCUCAACUUAAUCCUGUACUGUUAUUUUUUCCUAAGCAAGUCACAUCCAAGAUAGCCCUUUGUCCCAUUAAUUCUCAGUGUAAGGGUUGAGGUCACCAGCAAGAGGAGGACCUGAAUUCUGUGCCCAUCAUCACAGUUGCUAAUAAGCAGGAACAGGGAAGCUUGAUGCCGAAGAUGCUGAAACUCCCUUUCUUAGACCCAAACAUCUGUUUCCCAAUGAACUACACAGCGAGCACAGCCUACAGAUUUGACUCCAUGGAAAUGGAGUUUCACAGCCUGCCCAGAGCCUGUGUUUUUCAGGGCCUCACAGUACCCCCAUGAUAAAUACUUCAUGUGGUUCUCCAAGGUUGUCUGAGAAACUGGAUUCUUGUGUUGCAACUAAAACCCCUCUGUCAGUGCUGCUGUGGUGAUCUCUGAAGCCCCAUGAGUCUCUGUAGCUCUAUGGGUGGGUGAGCAAGGGACCACCAUGCUCUUGAAGAUGAUGGAAGAUGUAGGAAGAAAGCUAAAGCUUCCCAGCCCUGCACACACCUGGAGAGAGAAGAGCGGAACAAAUAGCAACAUUUCUGAGGGAUGUUUUGUACUUUGAGCAAUUUAUCUGAGGGUCUGAAAGGAUUUAAUAACUGAGAGCUAAUUAAAUGUAC
ensembl:lncRNA